UUGAAACAGCCGUAACGCAGG
ensembl:piRNA 21ur-11416 ncRNA